GACAGAGGGUGCAAACGUUGUUCGGAAUUACUGGGCGUAAAGCGUGUGUAGGCGGCCAUGUAAGUCGGGUGUGAAAGCCCCGGGCUCAACCCGGGAAGUGCACUCGAAACUGCGUGGCUUGAGUAUCGGAGAGGUUGGUGGAAUUCUCGGUGUAGAGGUGAAAUUCGUAGAUAUCGGGAGGAACACCGGUGGCGAAGGCGGCGAUCUGGGUCGAGUACUGACGCUGAGGUGCGAAAGCGUGGGGAGCAAACAGG
rnacentral:rRNA from 1 species